rnacentral:rRNA from 1 species
UCGUGACCCUGACCAAAACAGACCGUGCUAGCGUCAUCCAAUCCUCCGACGACGGCAUCGUCCGUCGCUCGGCCAAUUCCUCGACCGCCUCCACUCCUAGGAGAGGGGGCUCGGGGUAAAAGAACCCACGGCGCCGAACGCGUCAAGGAACACUGUGCCUAACCCGGGGGAAUGGCUAGCUUGCUAAUCAUCCCUCGUGUUGCAAAGAUAUUUAAUCCACACGACUCUCGGCAACGGAUAUCUCGGCUCUCGCAUCGAUGAAGAACGUAGCGAAAUGCGAUACCUGGUGUGAAUUGCAGAAUCCCGCGAACCAUCGAGUCUUUGAACGCAAGUUGCGCCCGAGGCCACCCGGCCGAGGGCACGCCUGCCUGGGCGUCACGCCAAAACACGCUCCCAACCACCCUCUUUAGGAAUUGGGAUGCGGCAUAUGGUCCCUCGUCCUACAAGGGGCGGUGGGCCGAAGAUCGGGCUGCCGGCGUACCACGCCAGACACAGCACAUGGUGGGCGUCCUCGCUUUAUCAAUGCAGUGCAUCUGGUGCGUAGACGGCAUUAUGGCCUCAAAAUGACCCAGUGAACGAAGCCCACGUCGCUUCGACC